UACGAGGGGGGCGAGCGUUGUUCGGAAUUAUUGGGCGUAAAGGGCGCGUAGGCGGUCGGAUAAGUCUUGUGUGAAAUCUUCGGGCUCAACUCGAAGUCUGCACAGGAAACUAUCUGGCUUGAGUGUGGGAGAGGUGAGUGGAAUUCCUGGUGUAGCGGUGAAAUGCGUAGAUAUCAGGAGGAACACCUGUGGCGAAGGCGGCUCUCUGGGACGGUACUGACGCUGAGACGCGAAAGCGUGGGGAGCGAACAGG
rnacentral:rRNA from 1 species